rnacentral:rRNA from 1 species
GGAGGGUGCAAGCGUUAUUCGGAAUCACUGGGCGUAAAGAGCGCGUAGGCGGUUUCUAAAGUCAGAUGUGAAAGCCCGGGGCUCAACCCGGAAGUGCAUUUGAAACUUAGGGACUUGAGUAUGGGAGAGGGAAGUGGAAUUCCUGGUGUAGCGGUGAAAUGCGUAGAUAUCAGGAGGAACACCGGUGGCGAAGGCGACUUCCUGGACCAAUACUGACGCUGAGGCGCGAAGGCGUGGGGAGCAAACAGGGAUUAGAUACCCUGGUAGUCCACGCAGUAAACGUUGAACACUAGGUGUAGCGGGUAUUGACCCCCCUGCUGUGCCGCAGCUAACGCAUUAAGUGUUCCGCCUGGGGAUACGGCCGCAAGGCUA